UACGUAGGGACCAAGCGUUGUUCGGAUUUACUGGGCGUAAGGGCGCGUAGGCGGCGUGACAAGUCACUUGUGAAAUCUCUGAGCUUAACUCCAGAACUGCCUUCGAUACUGGAAAGCUCGAAUCCGGAAGAGGUGAGUGGAAUUCCUGGUGUAGCGGUGAAAUGCGCAGAUAUCAGGAGGAACACCAAUGGCGAAGGCAGCUCACUGGGACGGUAUUGACGCUGAGACGCGAAAGCGUGGGGAGCAAACAGG
rnacentral:rRNA from 1 species